rnacentral:rRNA from 1 species
CAUAGCGACUAUCGUGGCAUAUCAAUAAGCGGAGGAAAAGAAACUAACUAGGAUUCCCUCAGUAGCGGCGAGUGAAGCGGGAAGAGCUCAAAUUUGAAAUCUUCAAGGUUCUACCUUGACGAAUUGUAGUUUAAAGAAGUGUUUUCUGUUGGAGUUUUGGUAAAAGUUCUUUGGAAUAGGACAUCAUAGAGGGUGAGAAUCCCGUAUUUGACCAUUAUUUCCAGCUGUGUGAUACACUUUCAAAGAGUCGGAUUGUUUGGGAAUGCAGUCCAAAAUGGGUGGUAAAUUUCAUCUAAAGCUAAAUAUUGGCGAGAGACCGAUAGCGAACAAGUACCGUGAGGGAAAGAUGAAAAGAACUUUGAAAAGAGAGUUAAACAGUACGUGAAAUUGUCAAAAGGGAAGCGUUUGACACCAGUGUUGUUUUUCCGAAAAUCAAUUACGAAUGUUUUAUUUUUGAGAAGUUAUGACUUCAUCGGCUUGCUUCUCUCUUUAUGAAACUUUCUUAAUGCACUUUUCGGUUAACAAGUCAACAUCAAUUUCUUUUGUUGUAAAAGGGUAUGAGGAAGGUGGCUUUCUUUUCGGAGAAAGUGUUUAUAGCCUUGUACCUCUGCAAUCGGAGAGAUUGAGGUCUGCAGCGUAGAUCCUUCGGGGUUAGAUACAUUUGUGCUAAGUUAUAGCUUUUCAUAAGACAACUUGUUGACUAUGUUUAGUCUUGUAGCUUACUCGCUUAUGCUAUUUUACCUACGCUUAGGAUGUUGAUAGUCACAGCGUGUAC